ensembl:lncRNA
AUGGACGAUGAUGCUGUUGUCAGGAGAGUUGUAUCUGCGGCUGAUCGGGUGUUGGAGAGCCUCUCUGAACUCGGAUCCUCCUCGGACGUCAAGGCUCUCCUCAGAUCGUUCCAGGUGUUUUCCGAGGCUUUGCUUCUCCUCAACAGUCUGACGGUGGACAGGGCCCAUUCUUUACAGGAUUCCAGACAAGCAGAGCGGCUUCUCGACUCGCUAGACACCCUGAGGAAGUGCAUCUCCAUGUUGCACACUGCCAUGUGCACGACCAUCACACACCCGGCCAAUGAGCAGGGGCAGGCAGCCAAGCGGUACAUUCUGGACAAAGUACAGAGCACGGUGGGUGAAAUUGUCAAAACCUUGCAAGGUCAGUGUCCCUUUGGGUCACUGGGUCCUUGUGGGUAUUACACGGGGAAGAGGAACAGUUUGUUGCAGAAACUUCUUUGUUUCACCACUUCCUCAGUCCAAGACGGCACCUUCGAUAGCACGGUGAGAGAUCUCGUGUUCCAUUGCAUGGUUGUGGCAAACUCCUCUCGUAGAGAGUUUCAACAAAGCAUGGUGGGUCAUUGUCGGUACAUCCUACAAUUCUGGUCAGAACUGAAAGGGAUUUUCAGGUCCUCAGAUGAUCCUGAUCAUAGCCUUGAGAAAACGUGCUCAUCGCUGAGGCAGCAGAUCCAAAUGCUUGACGACACCUUGGCGACCGCUGUUCUUUACCAAGUGCUGGACACAUUUAUUACAGCAUCGUCAACAUUUGACGAACUCUUAAAUGCAGUGAAACCGAUCCUGGGUGCAGAUUCCUCUACAACAGUAGAUCUGAUCUUUAUCCAGCCACUAGUUGAGGAUGUCAUAUCAUCUGCUGACAGAAUAAUCCAACUUGCAAAGUUUGUCUCAGCUGUGACCGUUGAUGCAAAGAGUUUGGAGAGCGUUGAAAACUCACGAGCGAGUCUGAAGAGACUCAGAGGUCAAAUGGCAGCUCUCUCGCUGGAACUGUCAGACAAUUCGGUGCAAACCGUCCAAGCGCUCCGUGAGGCCUGUCAGAAAUGGGAGGAGGAGAGCGGCCAACUUCAGGAAGCUGCCAGUGACGUGCUGGACGUGAGGGAGUUCACCAGCGUUGCGAUCAACGAGCUCAUCAACGACCGUCGAGGAUGCGACGCAGCGUACAGAGAGCAGAGCUACGAGCUGUUCCUCCGACACGGCACAAACCUGAUUUGCCACAUGAAGCUGGUGGUCCAGUCUGUGAGGGGACACCUGGACAGAAGCGACAACCCCAUCUACAGGAACGGCCUCUUGGUCCUGCUCAGACAGGUCCAGUCAUCUCAGGCCAGGGCGAUUGAGUCAGUUAGACACAUGCUUUCAGGGUCCACUCUGAACGUGGAGGUAUAUUCCGCCUUUUCGGACACUGUUUCUGCCGCCAUUCAGGAUUUCAAAGUACUAAGAGAAGGACUGGACGGCCGGCAGCAUCCGCAUCUUCUGAGCCCGCUGCGACAAAGGGCACGUCAGCCUGAAACCUCACGGCCCGGUUCGCCGGCCAAAGACACCUGUGAAAGGAGGAAGGCGUGUACCGUAAAAGGCUCUGAUGCUUCUGUUUUGGAUGUUAUGGAGAGAGAUUCUCAUACUGAACAUGAGAAGAUACCUCUAGAUGAGGAAAUCAUAGAAGCGGAACUGGCUCGUAAAUAUGACGGCGGUGAUUUAGCGCUCCCACCUGUCUCCCCGGUGCCCGAGCUGCUCCACAGGCCUCUUGAAUUUAACCUUUUGCCCCUGCUGUAUGAAGUUGUGAGUGUGACUAAAGGGAAAGAUGUGACGGCGCUCAACCGGGCCUGCACUGGCGUUCUGGAGCUGUCCAACUGUUACGCUCAAGCCGCAAAGGACGCCUCGGCCAUUGUGGACGCGGUUGACCGUCAAACGCUGGAAGGCUUUCGAGCAGAGCUGGUGUCAGUGACUCCGCUGCUCGUUCAGGCAGCUCAGGAGACAGCGAUGGGCUCCGCCAAGACUACGGAGGCCAUCUACAAAUAUAGCACGAAGCUCACUGACCUGAUUAAGAACAUCCGGAAGGUUUUACUGCCGGUAGCUGGAAACUGGUAUCAUGCUAUUUACAGUGAGCUGCAAGGAAGCACACCAACGAAGGCAGACACGGUCACGCAACAUCUAAAUGAAGUAACAAGGUUAUGUACGGACGUGGUCCAGCUCUUGACAUCAUCUGAUAUACCUUUACAAAGCGCCGUUCAGGAAACAUUCAGUGUUUUACAUAGCAAACUCAACAAAGCCCAGAACAACACAAAGUAUCUGGUUGAGUUCUUCACCUCGCAGGGACAGGUAGAUCAACUAGAGGGCCUCUGCAUCCUCUGGGGUCUCUCCAUUGAGACUCUGCUGAAUUCUCUGGAUAAGAUUUUGGGGACCUCAAUGGCAAUUAAUCAUUUGACUCCUCAGAAGCAGCUGUCAGUUUUGGCGGAGAACUCGCUUCGAAUCCAGGAGGCAGCGAGGCUCACGAGCCUGAAUUGCAGAAGUGCUUACAAAUCCAAACUGUUGACGCGGUACCAGGAUGAGUUGAAAACGCUCACUGACGCCUGCCUUAAAGCCUCAGAAGAGCUGGACAAAAUGCCAGAUGUGACAGAGCUGGCAAAGGCCGAGUUCCUUCAGCGACACCUGUUCAUUAACAUUAGAGUUCUUUCUGCUCACUUAAGCAAAGCAAACCAGGAUUAUGACACAUCGCUUGAAGAAUUGGUCAGUCUGGCUCAUUUGGCUGCUCAACACUCAGACAGCAACUUUGAAGAUUUGGAGCAGAAAUUCAAAAAUGCAGCUGAAAGGCUUCUUGAAAAUGUCAAAUCGUCGACCCAGAAAGUCGAGGACUGCCUGAACUACGUCCGCGACCCACGUGCCCGUUCUAACCUGAGGUCUAUCAACGAUCACCUGACCUUUCAGAUCUCAGAUGUCAUCAGCAGGGCCAGGCUCGUGGUGGAGACUCAUUACGUUUGCGACACACUCAGCCUGGAUGUGCGCAUUCAGUGCUGGUCGGCCAAAGCGCACUACGUGGUGGAGGAGAUCGGGAAGCAGGACGGGAUUCACCCGGAGGCUAAAGAGCACAUCAAGGCCGGGCUUCAAGGGAGAACGCCUGACAACAGCACAGAGAUGGCUGCAGCGCCUUCUAUAAACAGAGAGGCAGGAUGUCCUUCUGACACAAUAAUCAUACCGUGGCAGAAAGCUGAAGCUGAGAGCAAACAUGCUGCAGAAGCAAACGUGUGCACAGAAAGAGCUCAGGUCAGUAUCUCAUGA